rnacentral:lncRNA from 1 species
CCCUCCAUCCCAGGUAGCUACUUCUGCCUUCAUUCUUUGGAAGGUCCAUCCGAGACUUGUAUUCCCUUUCGCUUUGUUCUUGCUUCUUCUUGAAAUCCUUUCUCCUUCUUCUUCUCUAUCUUUUCCUUCUUUUUGGUUCUGGCAUCAUGGUCAGGACUUCUCCUCAGGAAGCUCGGUUGGGGAACUCGAUCGAUGAUCUUCGGUCGACCUCGAAAGUGGAGGUCUCCUCACUUUCGGGGCCGAAUGUCGAUCGGCUUCGGGAU